AUGACUCUCAGCGCUGCUAAUGCUCAGGUGUGUGGGGGGGCAGUGAGGGGGGAAGGAAGAGGAACUCUGGAACCCCCAAUAACAGGGGAUCAUCACUGCAGAGACCUUCACAGCUCUUUGCUGCUAACCUGGGUUGUUGUCCUCUCCCUACCUCCUAUUCAGAAAAACCUCAAGAAAAUGACUCAGAUUCAAGUUAUUUCCGAUUGUGAUUAUCUGAGAACUAAUUAUUGCCUUUUGCACCAUUGCUUGGCUUGUUCCUGCCUUCCCCCGGCCCUCCUGCUGCUAACCAUUUCCCUGUCAUUAGCACUUCCACCAGCAACCACGACAGCAAGGACAGCAGAAGAGAGCGUGCUCACAUCAGUCCGCUAUGCUGUAGUUUAUCAGCUCUGUGUGCAGGUUCCAGACGGAAGGGACGAAAGCUCCAAGGUCUUUCCAAAGAUGAGAACAGCCUCAGGAGAAGAAUCUGGAUCCAAAGACUCACUUUUUCCUGCUACCCCGUGAAUGUAAGUUACCUGAUGCUCCUACAUCCCAGGUACUAAUUACGAGGGAGUAGGAGGUGGGAAUCUGAAAGACUGAGAGUUUGUCCAAAAGGUACCUAACUCAAGAG
rnacentral:lncRNA from 1 species